rnacentral:rRNA from 1 species
GCAAGUCGAGCGAGAAGGUAGUUAAUGAAUCUUCGGAUGAUUUAACCACUGGACAGCGGCGGACGGGUGAGUAACGCGUGGGUAACCUACCUUGUACUGGGGGAUAACAUUCUGAAAAGAAUGCUAAUACCGCAUAAGCUUACAGUAUCGCAUGAUACAGUGAGAAAAACUCCGGUGGUACAAGAUGGACCCGCGUCUGAUUAGCUAGUUGGUGAGAUAAAAGCUCACCAAGGCGACGAUCAGUAGCCGGCCUGAGAGGGUGAAC